GGCCUCGUAGCUUAGCUGUAUAGAGCGUCGGAUUCCGGUUCCGAAGGUCGCGGGUUAGAAUCCCGCCGAGGUCACAA
rnacentral:tRNA from 1 species